AGCGACCGAAUAUUUGCGAAUGAUUUGCUUUUUAGUUUUCACAUAUUUGAUAUCCAUUUUUGAACUAAAUUUUUAUGCCAUCUGUAAGGUAUUGGUGUCCUAAAUUCAACUUAAAAGGAUAUUUUACCUGCAAUCAUUUUUCCUAAAUUUAUGGUGGUUUGAAUAAUUUGCGGUACAUCGAGGCUUAAGCGAUGAUUUAUUUCUACUCAGAAAUCAUUUCAAAUUAUUUUAACGCAAAUUACAUCACUUUGAACUUUAUAUAGCGUGUUGGAAAGAUUUUUCAAAAAAAACACUGAAAAAAAUCAUCAAUUUACAAAUCAAACACUUUCAUCAAUUUACAAAUUUCACAGACGUUAAAGGGCAGUCGGAACAUUCAAGUCUUCGCUCAUUCAAUCAGUGUUUAAUCGAAUUGGUUGUCUUCAAUUCAAUUUGAACUGAAUCUUGAGUGCCAAAUUUGUAUUGACCUGAAAAUAACGCGAGCAUUUUUUUAGGCAGACCAUAUUGAUUUUAUGAAGUCUCCCAAAACACCAUUUUUUAAAAAUUUUAAUGCCGCAGGCGAAUGUAGUUUAAAGAACGUGCUAAAAAUGGCCUUUUUGUGCACUUGCGAAGUUGAAUUCUGAAAAUGAUAAAGCUUGAACAAAUCAUUAAAAAACACUUAAGAUUCUUUAAAAGAAAAAACAAGGCAAAAUGACACCACGGUGUUUCGAUCACGAUACCACUUUUUCAAAAGAGUGAUUCAUUUAGUUAAAAUACAGUAACUCACUUCAGUUAGUGGAUGCUAUGAUAUCAGUAGCAAAGCAUCAUGGAAUCUGUGACCUUUUUUGGUGUAAAAAAGAAGAAUUUAAGAAUGUGAGAAAUAUUGAACAUUUGUUGAUCAUAUUUUUUGUGUUUAUUAGAUUGAAUGAAUAUAUGUUCACUAUCAAGUACUGCUAUAUCUUUUCUUGACGGGGACAACCUCCCCAGCGGAUUAAACUUAGUAGUUUUUGUUAAUGUAUACAUACUUUUCUGUGACGCUUUUAUUGAUCUAUAAAUGAUGUCUAAUCACGCCUAAUCAUUUUUCGUGGCGCUUUUAUUGGUCUAUAAAUGCUGUCUAAUCAUGCCUGCCUGUUUCAAAUUUUGACUAUAAAUUGUGUUUCGGCUAGACAUCAAUCAGGCCUUUCGUCCAUCCCCUCCCAUAUCGAAAAAUGCCUUAAUUCAAUUUUUGUCUGAAAUUUGUUUCAUAUUCAUCAUCAUCCAGUUAUUUAUACUCUUCCUUUUACUGAAAAAGUUUUGAACAUACAGUUAAUUGGAAUAAUUUUGUGUGAAGAGGUGACAUUUCAGUUGCCAAUUUCAAUACCAAUCUUUAAAUAAAAUAUGAAAAAUACGGAAAAUUCUUUGAAAUAGGAAAGAUAACCUUUCUUUCUUAUAAUAAACAGAGGCAGCAAUGGAAAUUAAUUGAGCGAUAGCAAAUUUUUACGUUUCAGAGGAUAACAAACAGUAUUAGCAAGCUACAAAACAUUUAGUAUGGAAAUUGCUGAUUUCAAAUUUUGAACGCCUUGGUCGCUAAGUUUUAACACAGAAGCAAAACUUCGCUUCGCAAACACUAACGAGAACAAUAAAGAAAAAUAGAAAUAAGCCCCGUAUUAGUAAAAAAAAAAUCGGCUAGGUCUGAGAUUCGACCCUGCAACCUGGAGAUUAUGAGUCUCACACACUAACCACUCACUCACGGACGCUUAAAAGGCACCAAACACAAGCCACAAAAGCAAGAAUAGAACAGAUGCUAUGCAAUUUCCAAUGCUACAGUGAAAUUUCCUGUAGCAUUGGAAAUUUCAUAGCAUCGAAACAAGUCGAAAUUACAAACCAAAUAAGUGAACACUUUUAUUUGCGAGUUAGGUUAGAGAAAAAAGAAGGUUCCUAUAGCACACUAAUCUGAUCACUAGUGUAACCAACGUUUCAUUUUUUGGAUUUUCAGAACAUGACGUUUCGACCAUGAACCCACGAGGUCAAACCGACGCUUUAUUCAUUUCGGAAGCAAUAACUGAAACUGCGAGAAAAAAAACAGCAAUCGAGAACUCGUGAUUUCCAUCCUUUGAGGUUAAUGGUCUCACACAUUCUGGUGAAGCCCUACGCAAAAUCAAUCAAAAGAUGCAAAUAAUUUGAUUUCACAUCGCAAUAAGUAAAUCGAAAAUAAAUUCCAAUUUUGAUUGAAAACUUGGCAAUAUUUACUCAAGAAAACUAUUGAAACAACAACAAAUAACUAACAAACAACAUUUUUGUUCCGAGGACAUCACUCAAGCAAUAUAUCUUAGCUUAGUUAAACUAAAAUAAUUAACCUCAGGGUUAGGACUACUCAGGCUGGUUAACUAAAAAAAAUAUAGCGUGAAUGAGCUUUUCGCAAUUUGAGGUACCUCACCUCGUAUUGAACCAAAUAAAGUAUCAAAUUAUUAAUAUGCAUUUAAUCUAAUACUCUAUUUGGCCACAUAUGAGUUAAAAUUCGUAAUUCGGCGUCCGAAAAAAAAAUAUUUUAUUUCGAGAAAGAAUAAAUUUUUCCGUUUAUCAGAAUAACUUACUCAAAGGAAAGGGUGAACUUCAUCUUCAACUGAACAGAAAUUUUCAAGCUAUUUUUAGCUAUUAUGUCCGCAAUCUUGCAGAUUGUUACCUAAUGGAACUACCUCCCACGUCUUAAGCACUUCUAAGUUUAUAUACUUUAUCGUAGGAUAUUCAGUGGAAAUUGCACAGCAAAUGGCUACCCUUGUUUUUUAUUGGAAAAUUUUAUUUAUAGAGAUCUUUUAUUUCGUUAUUCCUUUUGUCUUCUUGACACUAGCGUCUACAAAACCGACAACAAAAGAAGGCCAGUAUUGAAUUUAAGGGAACGCGUACUCCCCUCUCGGGAAUUCGAUACCCUCGCCAUUCAAAAGACCAGAUACAGAGGAAGGAAGGGAAGAGGGGGCUACAGGAAAUUAUACAGCAAUUGUUACAUUCCAAUUUCAAUCAAGUUAUCUGGUGCAAAUCGGAGACAAGCAUUCGUGGCUGGCUAAAAUUGCAGCAGUGGAUCCUCGAAAGGCGUGGCAGAACUUGCAGGCGGCUGGGAACCUUUAGGACCUUGAUUUGCAGCUGGUUGACCU